rnacentral:rRNA from 1 species
AUUGAACGCUGGCGGCAGGCCUAACACAUGCAAGUCGAGCGAGCGGCGGACGGGUGAGUAAUGUAUGGGAAACUGCCAGAUGGAGGGGGAUAACUACUGGAAACGGAGGCUAAUACCGCAUACUAUCGGAUGAACCCAGAUGGGAUUAGCUAGUAGGUGGGGUAAAGGCUCACCUAGGCGACGAUCCCUAGCUGGUCUGCGAGGAUGACCAGCCACACUGGAACUGAGACACGGUCCAGACUCCUACGGGAGGCAGCAGUGGGUAAUAUUGCACAAUGGGCGCAAGCCUGAUGCAGCCACGCCGCGUGUAUGAAGAAGGCCUUAGGGUUGUAAAGUCCUUUCAGCGGGGAGGCGUUACCCGCAGAAGAAGCACCGGCUAACUCCGUGCCAGCAGCGGCGGUAAUAC